rnacentral:siRNA from 1 species
UUUGUGUCGAAAAAUCCUUUUUCA